rnacentral:rRNA from 1 species
CACGCNGUAAACGAUGAAUGCUAGCUGUUAGCGAUAUACUGUUAGCGGCACAGAGAAAUCGUUAAGCNUUCCACCUGGGGAGUACGCCGGCAACGGUGAAACUCAAAGGAAUUGACGGGGGNCCGCACAAGCGGAGGAACAUGUGGUUUAAUUCGAUGAUACGCGAGGAACCUUACCCGGGCUUGAACGUAGGGAGACAGUUCUGGAAACAGAAUCUCUAGCAAUAGCUGCCUACGAGGUGCUGCAUGGUUGUCGUCAGCUCGUGCCGUGAGGUGUCGGCUUAAGUGCCAUAACGAGCGCAACCCACAUCGAUAGUUACUAACAGGUUAAGCUGAGGACUCUAUCGAGACUGCCAGCGUAAGCUGUGAGGAAGGUGUGGAUGACGUCAAAUCAGCACGGCCCUUACGUCCGGGGCGACACACGUGUUACAAUGGGAGGUACAAAGGGCAGCUACCUGGCGACAGGAUGCUAAUCUCUAAAACCUUUCUCAGUUCGGAUUGGAGUCUGCAACUCGACUCCAUGAAGCUGGAUUCGCUAGUAAUCGCGCAUCAGCCAUGGCGCGGUGAAUACGUUCCCGGGCCUUGUACACACCGCCCGUCAAGCCAUGGAAGCUGGGGGUACCUGAAGUAUGCAACCGCAAGGAGCGUCCUAGGGUAAAACCGGUAACUGGGGCU